rnacentral:rRNA from 1 species
UGGGGAAUAUUGGACAAUGGGCGAAAGCCUGAUCCAGCCAUGCCGCGUGUGUGAAGAAGGUCUUCGGAUUGUAAAGCACUUUAGUUGGGAGGAAGGGCAGUAAGUUAAUACCUUGCUGUUUUGACGUUACCAACAGAAUAAGCACCGGCUAACUUCGUGCCAGCAGCCGCGGUAAUACGAAGGGUGCAAGCGUUAAUCGGAAUUACUGGGCGUAAAGCGCGCGUAGGUGGUUCAGCAAGUUGGAUGUGAAAUCCCCGGGCUCAACCUGGGAACUGCAUCCAAAACUACUGAGCUAGAGUACGGUAGAGGGUGGUGGAAUUUCCUGUGUAGCGGUGAAAUGCGUAGAUAUAGGAAGGAACCCCAGUGGCGAAGGCGACCACCUGGACUGAUACUGACACUGAGGUGCGAAAGCGUGGGGAGCAAACAGGAUUAGAUACCCCUGGUAGUCCACGCCGUAAACGAUGUCGACUAGCCGUUGGGAUCCUUGAGAUCUGUAGUGGCGCAGCUAACGCGAUAAGUCGACCGCCUGGGGAGAGGCCAAG